UCCGCCUCAUCUCCUUUCUAUAGGUAUGUCCUUUUAUUCUGAGGUUAUGGCCUCUGGUCUUAGACCCUCCCACUAGUGGAAACAUAUACUCCACUUCCACACUAUCCGGACCUUUCACCGUGCUGUGAGGAACGUU